UAUCACCAACCAUUCCCAUUUUAUUACGGUGUAUCCAUAUAAAUGGCCCACCCUGUACAUAAAAAAAUAUUUUAAUAUAAUUUUUUAAUGGAAAAUGAACAAUGUGAUCUGUUAGAGGUAUAGAACACCAUUGGACUAAAUAUUGAUUGAACUAAAAUAUAUAAAUAAUAUAUAAACAACGUGUAUUGAAAUGUAAUGGGAAAAAUUCUAGUUAAUCCUGACAUUUAGAUUUAGCUGUUUGGAACUUCUCUGUAGGAUUUUUGUAUAAACUUUGUGUGCCUAGAUGAAGUAUGUGUAUUUGUCAACAUGACCUGGUGAAAAACUGCUUAGCCUAAAAAUGUUCCACUAUGUUAUCUGCUAACUGUUAGGGUGUAGCAGGACGAAAACUCCCAAGUGUCCAGCCGAGGUGCCUCCUGGAACAUAGAUAGCAAAGUCUUCUCUGUUUAGCAACAGCCCGGGUGGGACAAAAGACUGUUAUAACUGAAAAGAUACUGAGAGUUUGUGCGAUGUUAUAAAAGGGACACUGCAACGUCCCAAGGUUAGAGCUCUCAUGACUGUAGAACUGUGAUGUUUGAUUUAUAUUAGCUCUCCUGCAUGCAGCAAUUAAAAUAGCUUGACCACAGCUGACCUUGUUGCAGACUUUAUUAACAGAAAAUUCCAGGACAGAAAUCUUUUGGGUUUUGACACUUUUGGAUAACUAAACAUUCCCCAGGCCAAAUUGACCCAGGAACGUCAUUGCUGUACCUGAGAAAUAAACAUGAGAGGAGGGUUAAAGUUGAAGGGGACUAAAAAUAAAAAGCAGUCUACAGGGAUCAGUGUUGUACUGCCCCUGGCUGCAACCCUGUCUGCUCUGUGUACUGAGCGGUGCAGUCAGCUGAUGUGUCAUCUCUACCUGAGACAGAAGUGAUGCCACACUUUUUGGAGACCACAUCAUGCCACUGACUGGAUUACUUCAUAUUAGAAGUGAUGAAAAGCUAAACCCAGAUGUAAGUGAAGGAGAGUGUACCAUGGAGAUUUUUUUUCCUGUGGACAUUCUGAUGACUGUCAGGAUUCCUGAUUAUUCUUUGGUAAGAGUUUGUGGUGUGUUGCGCAUCUAGUUUAGGUGUGCUUGGAAAAAGAGAUUAUUUUAUCACACACUGAUUGCAUCUCAUGAACUUAUGCUUUGCUAGUGUUAGGAAUUCACUUUUUAUCUUUAUUGCACAUACCUCAUUAUUUUAUAUCCUACAAUUACUGCAACUGUUAUCAUCCAUUUAUGUUUUAUCUUUUCACAUUUAUGUUUUCAAGAAGAAUAUAGAAUAUAUAAUUGAAUGAAAAUGCCACACCCAUCCAAUACCAGUGGAAAAAUACUGAGCAGAGAAUACAUUCAUUGUGUGUGUGUGUCACACAGUGGAAAUUUGUAUUUGUCUUUAUAAUUUGUUUCAUUCUGAUUGUAAGAGCCAAUUAAAGGCUAGUUUACUAGUACUGGUAAAAUGAUUAAAGGGAGUUUUUGUUUUUUGUUGUUAACACUGCAAACCACAACAUAAUAAUUGAUUUGACAUCCGGCCAAAUCAAACUCGAUGAAACUCAACAUACAUAGCCCUGGAGAGAAUCAUACGGAUCAUACAAGAGAAGGGGGAGGAUGCUAUUAGGAAUGUCUGUGAAGAAUUCAAAGUGAAAAUGCUAAGUCCAGCUGAAAUUGCUUUCCUGACUGAGUACUGCACUGUGGUGAAGGCUUUAAACAUCCUUCAGUCUAAAACCCAAUACACACAUGGGGUGGCUCCUUCCAGUGAUCUUCCAGCUAAAAGCUAAACUCAGCAGACUGGAUACCUCCACCAAAAUGUGUCUCGAGACACGGCUCUGAUGAGUGGGAUCCCACUCAUCAGAGCCAUUCAAGAUGGUGUCCAAAAGAGCUUUGGUGGGAUGAUGGAAGAACCUGAACUGAUUGCUGCUGCAAUCCUUCUUCCAAAGUUGAGGACCACCUGGACUGACAGGCCUGGUAUCAUAGAAGCAGGUCUGAUCUAUGAUGGCCAGAUGGCAGAGGCUGGGGUGGAGCAAGUCAAGCAACAUUCAUCAGAUGAAGAAGACUUCUUCUUUUCAAUGAAGCCCAAAAGGCCACAAGGUAUUGGGGAGCUGGCUGGGUAUGGCGUUAUUUUUGUGCCACUAUUCUGAGCGCACGUAAAAAAACUUUUGAGCGCACGUAAAACAAAUUUGGCAGGUUCAGGUGUUGCAUUUUGAGGAGAAAUUUAAAGCACUUUUGCAAAUAUGUGAUGUCUUGAUAAAUCGAGCAGAUAUUUGAAGUUUACA